rnacentral:lncRNA from 1 species
AUGAGGAAACUGAGGCCUGAGGCCUACGCUGCCCCGCCGCAGGGGCCCUCACCAGGGGCUCCGCCCAGAGCCACCCCCCCGCCCCGUGCCCUGCCCAGGGCUCCUCCACGAGGCGGCGACUCGGGUCACAUCGCAGGGGCAGGGGCUGAAGGGCGUCACACGUGCCGCGGACCGCAGGGCGGGGAAAGGGCUCCGGGGGCAGCGGGGGGGGGGGGGGUGGGGGCGACCCAGGCCCUCGCAGGGCCCCGCCCCGCCCCCAGCCGCCGUCCCGCCCUCUCAUUGGCCGGCGCUGGCCCCGUGCCCUCCACGCAGCCAAUCGGGGCGAGGGGGCGGGGCGGCCGGGCGCCGCGCGGGAAGCCCGAAGCCGGCGGGGCUCCCGGGGGGCCCAGGGACGGCGGGGAAGGCCGAGGGGGCGGCGGGGGCGGCGGGGGCGGCGGGAGGAGGGGCCCCGGGCAGCGACUUACCUGCGUGGGGUGCAGGGGCACGCGGGCGGGGGCGGCCUCCGCGGAAGGUUCUCGGCGCCUGAGGCCAGCGAGCAACGGGGGGCCCCGACAGGUCGGGUCUGCGUGUCCUCCCGGGGACCUCCCGGGUGACCCGAACCGCCCCAUCCGGUUGCACCGCCCGGGAAUCGUCGGCUGCGCCUGCGGUCACCGAAAUGCAGCCUUUUGCACCAUGAGAAACAGGGCAGUUGACGGCCACCAGGUUCGCUCUGAGUCCAGUCUCAGCCCUGGGGAGACGACUUCAGCCGCAGCCCAGGUGGGCUCGACCCCCCGGAACUCGGCCCCCCGCAGCCCCCCCCCCGCAGAGCCCCGCGCCGGGCGGAGAACCCUCCGCAGGAGACUCGGGGGGAGCAGCGUGAGCCGCGUUCUGUCCUCUGCAAAACUCUGCCUCGGUGAAGUCCUCGCCGGCGGGGCGGGGGUUCCAGCUCUAGAGGCGUCGGGCCCAGCUGCAGAGCCCUGUGGGGCAGGAAGCACAGCGGGCUGGGGGGGUCGGAAAGGGGGAGCUGGCCAGGUGGCCUCCUGCGGGUCACCGCCAAGCCGGCCUUGCCCGUGGCCGCGGAGAUGGCCAAUCUGUCCAGCUCAGAAACCGCGAGAAGCCCCCUUUCCGGGACAGGUUGGGGGGCCCCGGGGCUUAGCUGCCGGCUUGCUGUGUGGCUGCGGGCGCGUUACUGUCCUCUGGGCAGCCUCCCGGUCUGUGGAGCGGGGCCUCGAGUGA